UCAGAGAACCUGUUCUAUAAUUGAUAGUCCACGAGUUAAAUUACUUAUUUUAUUAAUUUAUAUAUCGUCGUAAUUUAAAUAUUUUAAUAGAAUUAUAAUAUUUAAGAUUUUUAACUUAAAAAUAAAUCAGAUCAAGGUAUAGUUUAUAAAUAAGAAGAAAUGGGUUACAAUUAAUAAAUUAAUGAUGGAAGAUUAAUUUAAAAUUAAUCUGAAAUUGGAUUUGAGAGUAAUUUAAAUGAAAUUUUUUAAAUGAUUUUAGCUCUAAAAUAAGCACAUAUCGCCCGUCAUUUUCACUAUAAAGUGAAACAAGUCGUAACAGAGUAGGUGUACUGGAAAGUGUACCUAGAAAUACAAAUUAGAGCUUGAUAAAAGUAUUUUAUUUACAUUAAAAAGUUUAUUGUGAAAUUCAAUAUAAUUUGAUAAUAAUUUAUUAUUAAAAUUUAAAAUUUAUAUUUAUUUUAUUAUAAAUUAAUAAUGGUUAAAUUAAAUAAUUUGAAAAAAUUUUAUUUAUUAUAGUUGAUUAGUAUGGUGACAGAAUUAAUAAUUUAAUUUUAAAGAAUAAUUAAUUUUUAGUACCUUGUGCAUCAGGGUUAAUUAAAAAAUAAUUUUUUAAGAAAUUUUCUCGAAUCUAAAAGAGUUAUUUAAAUAUUUUUUUUAAUGUAUAAUAAUUAUUAUUAAUAUUUAGAUAGAAAUGAAACGUUAUUCGUUUUUAGGUAUAUCUAGUUUUUAAAGAAAUAAAUUUAAUUUAGUAAAUUUUAUAUAUUAAAUUAAAUUUUUAAUUUAAUAUUAUUAUUUAUAAAUAUCUUAUGGGAUGAGCUUUAAGAUAAAUUUUUAUAAGUAAAUUAUAAAGUUAAAUAAAUAGGAUUAAAAAUUUUUAUUUUUUAGUAUUUUAUAAUUAAUUUAAUAGUAUUUGUAAUUUAUAUUUACUUUAAUUAUUAUAUUUAAAUUUAAAUUUAAAUUUUAUUAAUUUAGUAAUAAUGAUUAAAUUAGUAUAAUUUUUUUUUAUAUAUUUAUAUUUAAAUAGAUUAUAUAAAGGAAUUCGGCAAAUAUAUUUUUCGCCUGUUUAUAAAAACAUGGCUUAAUGGGUAAAAUAUUAAGUCUAACCUGCCCUAUGAAAAUUUAAAUGGCCGCAGUAUUUUGACUGUGCAAAGGUAGCAUAAUCAUUUGUUUUUUAAUUGAAAGCUGGAAUGAAAGGUUGAAUGAAAAAAUAACUGUCUUUAUUUAAUUAUUAGAAUUUUAUUUUUAAGUUAAAAAGCUUAAAUAUAAUUUGAAGACGAGAAGACCCUAUAGAGUUUAAUAAUAAAAUUAUUUUAUAAGUUUAGUAUUUAAUAAUAUAAAUUUAUUUAAUUAUUUAAUUGGGGUGAUUGAAAAAUUAAAUUAACUUUUUUUUAUAAUAACAUAAAUUAAUGAAAAAAUGAUCCUUUUUAUAAGAUUAAAAGAUAAAAUUACCUUAGGGAUAACAGCGUAAUUUUUUUUAAGAGUUCAAAUCGAAAAAAAAGAUUGCGACCUCGAUGUUGGAUUAAAAUUAAAAUUUGGUGUAGAAGCUAAAUUAUUUGGUCUGUUCGACCAUUUAAAUUUUACUUGAUCUGAGUUCAAACCGGUGUAAGCCAGGUUGGUUUCUAUCUCUAAUUAGUUAAAAUAUUUUAGUACGAAAGGACCAAAUAUUUAAUUAAAAAUUUAUUUUAUGAAAUAAAUUAAUAUGUUAUUUUGGCAGAAUAGUGCAAUAGAUUUAGAAUCUUUAUAUGUAGUUUUACAAAUAAUACUUGUUAAUUAAGGAUUUAAUUUUAAUAUUAAUUUCUAGAUUAAUUUUAAUAUUGUGUGUUAUAGUUGGAGUUGCUUUUUUAACUUUAUUGGAGCGAAAGGUUUUAGGAUAUAUUCAAAUUC
rnacentral:rRNA from 1 species